rnacentral:pre_miRNA from 1 species
UGCUCUGGAUUAGGCUUUGGCUUAUGAGGAUCUUGUGGCUGUUUUGAUCUUCUAUCCAGAACACUCCAGCUUUCUCCUUAGCAGC